AUACGGAGGAUGCGAGCGUUAUCCGGAUUUAUUGGGUUUAAAGGGAGCGUAGGCGGGAGCUUAAGUCAGCGGUUAAAUGGUGCGGCUCAACCGUGCCCUGCCGUUGAAACUGGGUUUCUUGAGAGUGCAAGAGGCGGAUGGAAUUCAUGGUGUAGCGGUGAAAUGCUUAGAUAUCAUGAAGAACUCCGAUUGCGAAGGCAGUCCGCUGGGGCACGUCUGACGCUGAUGCUCGAAGGUGCGGGAAUCAAACAGGAUUAGAUACCCUGGUAGUCCGCACAGUAAACGAUGAAUACUUGUUUUCGGCGAUAUAAUGUCGGAGGCAAAGCGAAAGCGAUAAGUAUUCCACCUGGGGAGUACGCCGGCAACGGUGAAACUCAAAUGAAUUGACGGGG
rnacentral:rRNA from 1 species